ACCGCAGCCCAGCCCCAGUCCGGGAGGAAGUUCUGCCGGGCGCUCUCCGCCGGUGCCUCCCUGGUUAUAUUGUUGAACAGGAAACCCGGCAGCGCGGGAGCCGCGCGGUCGAGGAGGGAGCGCGGGACGCCGAGCCCACGCGCGCCUGCCGGGGCAAGUGGAGGCGAGGCCGGCGAGCAGACGCCCCGAGGGUCGAGGAAGGAACCGAGGCCGGGUCUCCUUCUUAUCCAGCCCGAGACACUGAGCUCCAGUGGGCGUCCCUGCGCUGGGAAUCCCGCUCGGAGUUUUUCCAGGCCUGGCCGGGCUGCGUCGGGAAAGGCCCUGCUCCGGUUCCGCGCAGCCUCUCCGGCCUCGCCCCUGGAAACCCCGCCCAGGGCGAUGGUAGGGGCCUAACCUGCUGCCACCGCCGGCUCCGCCCACCCAGCCCAUGGGCUCCCUGAGGCCCGCCCAGCCGACGAAAACGCCGCGGCCGCGAUGGCGGCGGACGUGGAGGGGGACGUGUACGUGCUGGUGGAGCACCCCUUCGAGUACACGGGCAAGGACGGGCGCCGUGUGGCCAUCCGGCCCAAUGAGCGCUACCGCCUGCUGCGGCGCAGCACCGAGCACUGGUGGCACGUGCGGCGUGAGCCUGGUGGCCGCCCCUUCUACCUGCCCGCGCAGUACGUGCGCGAGCUGCCCGCGCUGGGCAACCCUGCCGCCGCCCCGCCGCCAGGUCCCCACCCGGGCCCCGCGGCUCCCGAGCCGCUGGCCUAUGACUACCGGUUUGUGAGCGCGGCAGCGGCCACCGGCCCCGACGGCGCCCCCGCGGAGCCCAGAGGCCGAGCCAGCUCCUUGUGCGGCCCUGCGCAACGCGGCGCCGCGACCCAGCGCAGCAGCCUAGCGCCCGGCCUGCCCACCUGCCUGUACCUGCGGCCUGCGGCGCCCGUGCGGCCCGCGCAGUCCCUGGACGACCUGGCGCGCGCCGCCGUCUCGCCUCCCUGCGGCCUCCUAGGAAGCAGCGGCACCUUCAAGGCCUGCAGCGUGGCGGGCUCCUGGGUGUGCCCGCGGCCCCUGGCGCGCAGCGACUCAGAGAACGUCUACGAGGUCAUCCAGGACGUGCACGGCCCGCCGCGGGAGGAGAGAGCGGAGCAGGUGGACGACCCCCCGGAGCCCGUGUACGCGAACAUAGAGAGGCAGCCCCGGGCCACUUCGCCAAGCGCCACUGCGGUCCCCCUCCCCAGCCCAGUGUGGGAGACGCACACGGACGCGGGCACCGGGCGCCCCUACUACUACAAUCCAGACACAGGAGUUACCACCUGGGAGUCGCCCUUUGAGGCUGCCGAGGGUGCCGCCAGCCCAGCCACCUCCCCUGCCUCGGUGGACAGCCACGUGAGCCUCGAGACCGAGUGGGGUCAGUACUGGGAUGAGGAGAGCCGCAGAGUGUUCUUCUACAACCCGCUGACGGGCGAGACGGCCUGGGAGGACGACGCCGAGAACGAGCCCGAGGAGGAGUUCGAGAUGCAGCCGGGCCUGAGCCCUGGCAGCCCCGGGGACCCGCGGCCCCCCACCCCUGAGAUGGACUACCCCGAGUCAUUGACCAGUUACCCCGAGGAGGACUAUUCUCCCGUGGGCUCCUUCGGUGAGCCCGGCCCCACCUCUCCCUUGACCACACCUCCCGGCUGGUCUUGUCAUGUCAGCCAGGACAAGCAGAUGCUCUACACCAACCACUUCACCCAGGAGCAGUGGGUGAGGCUGGAGGACCCUCACGGGAAGCCAUACUUCUACAAUCCAGAGGACUCCUCCGUUCGAUGGGAGCUGCCCCAGGUCCCUGUCCCUGCCCCUCGAAGCAUCCAUAAAUCCAGCCAGGAUGAUGACACCCCAGCCCAGGCCAGCCCUCCAGAGGAGAAGGUCCCUGCAGAGCUGGAUGAGGUUGGGAGCUGGGAGGAAGUCUGUCCUGCCACAGCUGCUGUGAGGACCAAGACGUUGGACAAGGCAGGGGUGCUCCAUCGCACCAAGACGGCAGAAAAGGGAAAGCGGCUCCGGAAGAAGCACUGGAGUGCCUCCUGGACUGUGCUGGAGGGUGGCGUCCUGACAUUCUUCAAGGACUCAAAGACCUCAGCUGCAGGCGGCCUGAGGCAGCCUUCCAAGUUUUCCACCCCCGAGUACACAGUGGAGCUGAGGGGGGCCACUCUCUGCUGGGCCCCCAAAGACAAAUCCAGUAGGAAGAAUGUGCUGGAGCUGCGGAGCCGAGAUGGCUCGGAGUACCUGAUUCAGCAUGACUCGGAGGCUAUCAUCAGCACCUGGCAUAAGGCCAUUGCUCAGGGCAUCCAGGAGCUGUCCGCAGAGCUGCCCCCAGAGGAGGAGAGCGAGAGCACCAGAGUGGACUUCGGGGCGAGUGAGCGCCUGGGAAGCUGGCAGGAGAAAGAGGAGGACGCGCGGCCGAAUGCAGCCACGCCCGCCGUGGGCCCCGGGGGCCUGGAGAGCGACUUGAGCAAGGUCCGGUACAAGCUCCGCAAGUUCCUCCAGAGGCGGCCCACACUGCAGUCGCUGCGGGAGAAGGGCUACAUCAAAGACCAGGUGUUCGGCUGCGCGCUGGCCGCGCUGUGUGAGCGCGAGAGGAGCCGGGUGCCACGCUUUGUGCAGCAGUGCAUCCGCGCCGUCGAGGCCCGCGGUACGUGCGUUGUGGGGGUGAGGGAGGCAGGCAUUGGGGUGCCCGCAGGUCUCCUGCCAGGACCGCAGGCUGAAGACCUCUGGAUGGAAGCAGGUCCAGGGGGAAAGUACGGAAGGCCCCGACUGGGAAUCAUAGCAGGGACCUGUAGCCCCACCCUACCCCCACCCCCGAACCUGGGAUCAGCGCCUCCCUCUGCCCCAGGGCUGGACAUCGACGGGCUGUACCGCAUCAGUGGAAACCUGGCCACCAUCCAGAAGCUGCGCUAUAAGGUGGACCAUGAUGAGCGCCUUGACCUGGACGACGGACGCUGGGAGGACGUCCACGUUAUCACCGGCGCCCUGAAGCUCUUCUUUCGGGAGCUGCCGGAGCCCCUCUUCCCCUUCUCGCACUUCCGCCAGUUCAUUGCGGCCAUCAGUGAGCACCUGGGGCAGAGUUGCAGGAUCAGGCCCAGCGCAGCCGCUGUAUGCGCGACCUAGUGCGUUCGCUGCCGGUCCCCAACCAUGACACUCUGCGGAUGCUCUUCCAGCACCUCUGCCGGGUGAUCGAGCACGGCGAGCAGAACCGCAUGUCGGUGCAGAGCGUGGCCAUUGUGUUCGGGCCCACGCUGCUGCGGCCCGAAGUGGAAGAGACCAGCAUGCCCAUGACCAUGGUGUUCCAGAACCAGGUGGUGGAGCUCAUCCUGCAGCAGUGUGCGGACAUCUUCCCGCCGCACUGACUGCGGGCCCGCGACUGGGGCGGCGGCCGAGGGCCUGCCACACAAGCUGGGCGGCGGAGGCCACGCGGCCCGGCCUUCUCUCUGGGACCUUCCCCCAGCGCACAGCCGCAGGCAGGUGUGACUUCUGCACCCUCGGUUCUGAGGGUACGGUGACCCCUAGUGGGCAGUUUGCAAAAUGUGAUUCCUUCCCCCAACUCCUCAUCACCCCUGCCACCCCUCUCCCCUGCCCCCUCCCCCCCACCCGUCACGUCCUAUUUGGGGGUUAAUUAGGAUUUUUUCUCUAUUGCAUCGCUCCUACCGUGCGUGCGCGAUAGUGUGUGUGGGGGUGACAGUUGGAAUUUCAGGAAUGGUGGAUGCUGGGGGGAGGAGUUUGGUGGGGGGCUUCCUAGCUGCUUCUGGCCCUCACCUCGUGGAGGCCUUCACAGAGACCCUGUGGACCCUGUGCCGGCACUGUCCAGUCAUGAAGCAGCUGUAACCACUUCCCUACUGUGGAAAUAGGACUGACCCAGUGUGGGCGGCUGAAGCUGUCCUCCUCAGGCGUCAGGGAUGACCUCCUGCCUGAGCCUCUCGCAGGCUGGCUGUGCGCCAGUUUCAUCUGCUUUUCUGUUGGGGAUACCGGGCCUCUGCUGUCCCCGACCCACUGGUAUUCUGUGCCAGGCUUCUUCCUAUUCACCAAGUGCGCACCUCGCAUCUGCCACUCGGCAUGCACCAGUUCCACACUCAAUCCCAUUUUACAGACGAGGAUGCUGAGGCCUGCAGCUGCAAUGUGACUUGCUCAAGGUCCAGUGAGUGACCUCACUCCCCAGAAAAGGCUCCUCCCACACCAGAGCACCGCCUGAGUAGGGGGGAAAUCAGUCCUUUCAGCUACCACCCUCCAACCUUUGGGCCUAUGCGAAAGGAAAGGAACUAAACUGGGUGUUUUCUGUCUGGACCUGGGGAGGCCCCUGAAGGCAAAGAGGCAAACUGCCCCAGCUGUUCUGUCCUAGAGGAGGGGGACAUAGCCCUAGCAGGAGCUCCCAGCCCCUUCUGGCAGUCUGACACACAAGUAUGCCCAUCUGGGGCCCGCUUUGCCCUGAAGAGCUGGGCAGGCCUGCAGGGUGUGGGGAAGGAGGACACAACCUCAAGAAAGGAAGAAUGAAUCCCAGGGAACAGCAGGUCCCUUCCCUCCUCAGACACAAGCCACCUCAGGUUGUGGCUCUUGGCCCCCCGCCCCCCCCCCCCCCCCGUUCAUUUAUUCAACAGACAAUGACAGCUCAUAUUUAUUGGACAUUAGCACCAUGCCAAGCAUUUGGCUUGGAUUAUCCCAUUUGUUUCUCACAGCCGGUAUUUAUUGUCCGCUCUUCUGUGCCAGGUGCUGUGCUCUGGGCAGGGGCACUGCACGGGCUGCCUGCCCUGGUGGAGCUUGUGGUCUGACGGGUGAGGCUGACCCAAGCCCACCUCACUGCCAUUGCCAGCAGGGCCAGGGCAAGAGUACACACAGGGGCCUCAUACCAUGUGUUUAAAUAUUUAAAACUUAUCAAUCAAGCUAACAACUGUUAAAUAAAAUAUGUUCUAUUCUCCUACUUUGA